rnacentral:lncRNA from 1 species
GACGGGAAUGGGGACGGAAUUUUUUGUUCUGAGGGCGGGAGGUUAGAAGGCUACCGCCACAUGCUGGACUUGCAGAAGCAGCUGGGCAGGUGCGGGGCCAGCACUGCUGAGCCCACUGGGGCCCCCUGGCUCCCAUACCCUGUCCGUGGGCAGCAUGAGCUCCUCUGGGCAAGUCCUGUGACACAAAGCCGGGUUGGAGGGCUCUGCCGGAACCCACUCUGGGCCCGGGCAUCUCAUGUGUAUGAGGGUGGAGUGGCUGGCCUUACUGAUGGCCGAGUCCCCUGGAGCCCCUGAGGGUUUCUAGGGAAUGCCUGGGUGGGGAGGAUGGCAGGGACCAGGAGGUGGGGCCAUCUCACCC